GUAGCAUUUCUGGGUGAUCUCAGCAGAGACCCAGAGUGCAGUAAUAAUGACCAAACAUCUCAUCUCUUCAGCACAGAACAUGGCCUGUAAUGGUGUGAUGACAUGAUAAGUAUUGUGCUGUUGCAUAUGUUAUCACAAAUCUGUGGCUAUCCCUUCGGUUUCCAAACCUGUCAGUCUAACCAUUUUGCAAGAAAUAGACCAGCUCUGAGGAAGAUCCUCUUCCCUUUACAUGGAGUUUGCUCCUUCUUUUUUGGUUCCUGUAGUUAUUGUGGUCAUUCUUUCCAUAUUGUUUCACUGUUUUAUUCAAGGUAGUUGUAUUUUUCUGUAAAUAUCAAAAAAACUUUGUCUGCAAUUAGAAAAUAACUGUAAUGAACCUCCUUUAGAAACAGAACUUUAUGUCUGGCGGUUGUUUAGGAUUUUUUCUUUUCAUUGUGAGGGUUGGGGGGGUAUGGUGUGUCAGGAAAGCAUAUGUUAAUGGUUAAUCACUAGGUAUCUUUUGAAAAACUGUAUAAAAAUUUGGAAGGAAAACAGCACAGCCAAAGCACAAGAAUGGAAACCAUGAGUUUUAACACCCCUGGUAGCCCCUUCUAACUUUUUAGUCUCACACAUCUCAUAUCACUUACCCACUUAUGUUUCAGUCUGUUAGGCUAUCACUAAUACUAAUAUGCUUUUGCCCAUAAGUGUGCUCCUGUGAGGACCAAUUAGCUGGUCUUAGUAAAGAGCUAAUUUAACUUAUAAAUAUUUUUGCACACCUUAAAAUAUUUAGUCAAUUUUUCUGAGCUAUAGCUCAAUCAGGUACAUUUUGUUAUGCCUGAGAUUUUAAUCUUGCCUUUUAAUUUGUAGCUGAUGCUGUGAUGCACACAAGGUAUAAGCGCUGUCACCAAGUCACAACACAAUUUGACAAAAUAUGAAAGGUAUAGAUUAAAAACCUUAAUAAUGGAGACUGCUCUUAAAGAUUUCUCAAAGACUUUUCAUGUCUGAGCUUGUAAAAUUUGUAUUUCCUUCCUUCCUUCCUUCCUUCCUUCCUUCCUUCCUUCCUUCCUUCCUUCCUUCCUUCCUUCCUUCCUUCCUUCCUUCCUUCCUUCCUUCCUUCCUUCCUUCCUUCCUUCCUUCCUUCCUUCCUUCCUUCCUUCCUUCCUUCCUUCCUUCCUUCCUUCCUUCCUUCCUUCCUUCCUUCCUUCCUUCCUUCCUUCCUUCCUUCCUCCUUCCUCCUUCUUCCUUCUCUGUCUCCCUUCCUCCCUGUCUCCUUUCCUCCUGCCUGUUCCACAGGUUUAUACAGUUUCCAUCACCUAUAUGUUUCCCAUUCCAUCCCCAAAAAAGGCACUCUUUAGGAAAAAUUAGUAGAGUCAGGUUCUGUAAAGUAGCUGCCAGCUACCUCGGUUGAUUUGGUCUAGUACAAUUAAUAGGAAGUGGGGCUCCCAGGAUGCACUUGAGUUUUCCCUGAGUUUUAGCCUUUUCAACCCAGUUGAGGAUCUAACAUAGCUAAAUAUAUGGGGUAGGAAUGUGAAAGCAACAAGACAAAAAGCUAUGUGGGUAUCAUGAAAGCUCAGAAAUAUGGUAAUUCAAGGUCCGAUCAGUUCCAGAGAUAGGAACCAUUUUCAAGACCAGGGAUUUAGUUCCAAAAAUUUCUCCUUCAACGUGUAUGAUAUUUUGUAUUUAAAAAGCUUGAUGUGGACCCAUUUUUCACAUGGUGGUCAUUAAGGAUGUCAGCUGCUGUCAGAAAACAGGACAUAUUUUUAGAAAUGUACUCAAAUUCUGUAGGACAUUUUCACAGCAACAUUGGUGGCAGAGUAAUUAUAAGGAAGGGAAAGUGUGUGGUCAAGGAGCAGACACAUGCUCCUUUAAAUUUUUUUUUGCCACAUACAUGAACAGAACUGUUAAUUCUUCAGUCCCCAGAAUGUUUUUGUCCCUUUUCUCUUUGGGUUAACAGACUCACUCUUUUUAUUUGAAAAAAGAAGCAAAAGUGUCUGGAUAAGGGCAAGGAGGCAGCAGGAGUGCUCUGGGGGGAGAAGGUGAGUGGCAGACACAUGAUGGCAGCUGGAAUAUUUCAGUUACUUCUUAGUUUUGUUUUUUUUCUUAUGUAGUGACAUAAGGAAAAGACUUUGCUGCUAUAGUAACUCAACAAAACAGUGACUGUAGUGCUACUUUGCUAGAUAAGCAUCAGCAUAUCCUGCUGUUGCCACAUGAUGAGUUGGGCUUUUUUCUCCUGUUCUGUAGGGACAUAAAAGGAACUCUUUUCCAUGCCCAUUUCUACUUCAGGAACAGAGCAAGAUCAUAUGAUGGACUGAACCUUUCACCCGCAUGUUUGCCCAAAUACAUGUCUGAUCCAGUCUCAUGGUUUCUGUCUCUUCCUGCCAACACUGCAGCAUUACCACUGCCUUUAAAAUGGCUGUAGCAGAGUGAAGUAGCAACUAUUUUACAUAAGUAGUAUUAUAUUGAGUCUGUAGUUAACCAGUCUUGUGUGGCUUGUUUUCUCUGUUCAAGUCAUGAUAUUGAAUGACAGCUUUGAUUUUUUGAUCAAGGUAUAUUGAUCAUGUAUAUCCCAAUACUGUUGCUGUUAUGUUUGGCACUGACUCUUAAAUGAAAAUGGUUCUGGACCACCAAAGGGUUAAAAAAUGGACAUGUUUUUGAAAAGUCCUCUGACUUUUGCCAGUAUUAUUGUUCAUUAUGAUGACACUGUGUUUUUUUUUUAAAUAGCAGCUGUAGUUGUCAUGAAACUAUUUUCCCAUUCCUCUCCUUUAAAGUGUGAUGUUGUAAAUUCAUGUGACCUUUCCUGCAAAGAAUAAAUAUUUCUUUUUUUUAUAAGAUCUCAAGACAAGGCUUGUUUUGUAACAAAUAGUGGCCCAUUACAAAGCAGGAAAAAAACUGAGCAGAGCAAAAAGAAGCUUCAGUUCAAUUUCACCUCAUAUCUUUCUAAUAACUUACUUGUCACUUUAUUACCUUCCAGUAAUGUGAAUGCUGCUGACAAGACUGUCACACUAACAGCAGACAACACCCUCUCUUCCUUUGCCCCAGCUCUCCUGGCUGCUUAUUGCGCUGGCCCUGAAGGGACACAAACUAAUAGUGUGCUUUCAAGUUCAGCACUUGGCCAUCAAAUAUAAAAGGAUGUGUAAUUGCCUGUUUAUCCCCUGUGAAGGCGAAAUUGAGUAUAAGAACCAGGCUUUCCCUCCCCAUUCCCUAACACACACACACACAUGCAGACACACACACACACUCACACAAGCAUGCACACACAUCUGCAGUGAGUGAAGGGAAGUCCCAUCUGGAGCACUUUGAUUUGUCUUUAGGAAGCCCAAGGCUGCCACUGGCUGCUCUAUCGAGCUAUCAGGUAGACAGUAACAAGAUGGCUUCUUAGCAAAAGGUCAGCUGAGAGAUACUGUCUGUAAUGGCACUUUUGUCUGCUUAUGUAGCAACUAAUUGCUUUGUAUUGGCAUAGGCCAUACUGUGCCUGCUAGAAAUAGUUAUUUGAAUUUCCUGCACAUCUUGCUGCAUAGGUUCAGUGUCAAACAGGAUGCGCAGUCUAUUUUUUUAACUGGUUUAGCCCAUCUCUGGGCUCCUAUCAUGAGUGCCAAUUCCCUAUAUCCUAUUCUAUUGUCAUAGGAGAAUCUCCUGCUAAAGUCAGCAUGAAAUUCAGUAAAAUCUUAGAUAAAAAUAUCUGAGGCACAAUCUGCUGUCCUCAUGAAAGGAAGAAUUUUUUCUGAUUUAUACCUUCAUUUGCAAGAACACUGCCAAAAGUCCAGUCUCCAAAAGGGCUUCUCAUAUAGGCCAUCAGAAGAGAGAGUUUUCUAGUGAAACAACUUGAGAGCACGUGCUGUUUUAAGAAAUUUUAAGUGCAUGAAGGCCAGUGUAACUGGCUGCAGUCACUCUCCUUCCAUUUUACUGUGUGCUUUCUGACUGCUGAAUAGCAGUUGAAAAUUCAGGUAGGCAGAGGAGCUGCUGAAGCAUACUUUCCUUGCAGGGUCUGCAGCAUUCCCAUGCCAAGAUCAUAACACUGGUCCUGUGUGUACCUGUGAGCAUUGGGCACUGUGGGUUGAACAGUGCUGGCAGCCAGUGCAGCACCAAAAAGUCAAACACAGGUUUCAGACAAAACCCAAGGCCAAGAGAUCUAAGCACUCUUCCUUCCUUCCUUCCUUCCUUUGGGAUUUUGGGAUCAAUUCAUGGCAUUGGUUGGCUGCAGCACCUCUUUGCUGGGUCCAGAUGCUAAUGCUGUCAACAGCACUGUGUGGAAAUUUGAUGUUUGUUGCAACAGAGGUGAUGGUGCCCACCAUAAAUAUGCUAAGGUCUUUUACCAGUCAAAGGUCACUGAUCUUUUCCCUCCUUUUCCUUCCGAGUUCAUCAGAAGCUACAAGGGUGAAACCACCAGACAAAUUCCUGAGGCCUGUUUGUAUCAGAAGUCUAAAGGCUGAGCCCAGACUCUGCUCCCCUGUCAACUCCAUGUUGACGGAGGCACUGACGGAGGUUGAAGCAGCCGGGUGAGCUGACCUGCGAUGAUGAGCUUGGGCAGCCUUUCUUGCUGUACCAUUUCCAAGGCUGUUUGUGAAAACUGAGGACUUUCUGAUUGAAGAAAUAAUUUGUGUCCUUUGUGUGUGUUUGUGAAUAUGUGUGUGAGUGCGAAUGUGACAGACAGAGGAGAAAUAGACACAGUGUCAGAACAAAGAGCCUUAAAAUUAGGACUACAAGUGACCAAAAUUAUAUCAUUUCCAUCACACUUACACUGGUGUAUAUAUGUGUUUCCUCAUACGCUUAAAAGAGCAGGAAGAGUCACGUAAAAAUAUCUAACGUAUAGAAGUAUUUUUCUGGUGUUCUACAGAUUUUGUACAUUGCUUCCUUUAAACCUUUGGAGACAAAUAUUUUAGGAAAAUUUAAAAAAAUAUCCAGGACAAUUUUAUUUCUAGAGAAGAAAGAGAGAGCAAGACUAGCUAAGUGAUGCAUAAAGAUUUUAUAAGGCAUCCGUUGUCAAACAGAAGGUUGAGAAUGAUCAGAGGAUAAUGCACAGUUAGGAUGGCAAACUCAUCAAUAGUUAAUUACAACCUGUCCACUUCUGUCAUGAAAUGCAAGAAGCUAUGAACAGCAGCUCUGGGGCAGCAGUGGCAGUUGUGUGUGCAUGUGUUCAUGCCUGAAUGUGAGAGCAUUAUGCAGUCGUCACAUCCAGAUCAAGACAUUUUCACAUCCCCAUCCCCCCACCACCUCCGGUACUGAUGGGGCAGAAUGCCUUCCGCCCCAAUUACACCUGUGAAAUGGUAUGGUAGCCACAUCAACUGUGGUUCUAAGGAUGUUCUUCUUAGUUUACUUGAUGACCUACAAAAUAAACAGGGACACCUAAGCUGUACAAAGGCAGAUUUAUUCAUUAUUUUUCAAUUAUACUUUUACAUUUGGAUUUUUUUAGUAUUUUUUUUAACAAAUACUUGUACAACCUUCAGCCAUUGUCUUUAAUUUUCCCAUUUUCUUUACCACCAUUCCUCCUUUCAUUAUAGGGGAGUGUCUCAUUAAAAUUCUCUCAGAAAAGUAACACAUCCUCCUAGUGUUCUUCAUUAUGGAAAGUUUUAUGCAUUCCAUGUGUAAAAAUGGUUACUGUUUGUAAAGUGGCAGGUUAAUAAAAUGGCCACUGUUAUGUGUGUGUGUUUCAUUUAGCUAUUUAAAAAUAAAAAAUUCAGCAUGCUGCUUUUUCUUGUGCAAACUUUGGUUCCUAUAUCAUAUGGGGCUCCUUUCCCAGAACAUGGCUUGUUUUUGAUGGGCAGCAUUUGUGUUCUCAGUUCACGCCUCCUGCCUGUCCUCCAGUUUAUAAAAGUGAUCUGCAUUCCAGUGCAAUGUAUGUGCAACAGGCAUGCAAAUAAGUUGAUCUGAAUCUGAACACAAUCCAAAUUUACCCUGGCUGAAAUUCCACACACUUUUACUAACUACAAACUGAUGCAACCUCUUUGUACCUAUACAAAUAACACAUUGUAGGGAUGGCUGAAGCAAUUUCAAGUUUCUUUGUUUGACUGAAGGCUCUUGCUCACUGUCACAGUUGACAUUUUAACAGCUUUUAACAUAGGAGGUCAAACACAAUGAUUUCCUCUAUAACUGUCUGCUGUGUUUCAGUUCUCCUGAACUGGAAAGAUGGAAACCUGACUAUGGGGUUCACAUAGAAAUGUAAACUGAGAUAAACUGGAUUUGAACCUUCAUGUAUUUGGAAGUUCUUAGGGGUCUGGCAGUGUGUUCAGUUACAGAGGCAUAAAGCCUGGAAUCCCCUUUCUCAGUAGGCAUGGGAGGGCUCUCACAGCCUGGCUGCAACCCCCUGUGCCAACCAGCGAUGCACCACCAGCAGCAAGGGGGCUGCUGUGUGGAGAAUGGAGAGCUUGCAGGCAAAGCUGGGCUUGUUCCAGUGGACUAUGUUAAGAUGUGCUCCUGGGGUACCCCAGCCAGGCACAGGAAGGAGUAGAGUCAAGGCCUGAUGGACAUUUUUUACAAAGGUCUUUCUCUGUUUGGAAUAGAGGAAGCUUUUCAUUUUCACUGUUUGAUCUCAAUGUGAGCAAAACGUGAAUGCUCUGCUGUCCUGCUUGCAGAACCAAAGCAUGCACUAUGGAAUAUAGCUGUACAAGGGGAUACAAAAUUUUGCAUCAUGUUGAUCUAAUAAUCGUGACAUUAGUAGCUUCAUAAAUAUUGUAUGUAGUCUAAACAAGUUUUUUCCAUUAGUAAUCUGAGGGAAUUAAAAGUCCCGUUUUAAUUUGACAUUUCUUUUCUUGUAUUUUCUGUACUGUAACAGUCCUACAAUAUGUCUUUUGCAUAAAAUGCAUAAGGUUUUGGGGAUAUAAAUGGAGUUUUACUCAUACUUUGUUCAAAUACCUCUUGUAAUUUGUAUCAAAAUUCUUGUACAAUUUUUAUAUUAAAGAUUUAUCACUCACUGA
rnacentral:lncRNA from 1 species